rnacentral:rRNA from 1 species
UACGUAGGGACCGAGCGUUGUCCGGAUUCAUUGGGCGUAAAGAGCUCGUAGGCGGCUUGUCGCGUCGACUGUGAAAUCCCGCGGCUCAACUGCGGGUCUGCAGUCGAUACGGGCAGGCUAGAGUUCGGUAGGGGAGACUGGAAUUCCUGGUGUAGCGGUGAAAUGCGCAGAUAUCAGGAGGAACACCGGUGGCGAAGGCGGGUCUCUGGGCCGAUACUGACGCUGAGGAGCGAAAGCGUGGGGAGCGAACAGG